rnacentral:snoRNA from 1 species
UGAGUCAAUGAGGAGUGUGUGUCAAGAACAAAGGAAUUUGAUUAAUCCAGUUCUGUGCCUCUGAGACUCAUG